rnacentral:misc_RNA from 1 species
AGAAGGCUCGCUGGUUUGCAGC